CACGGAGGGAGCUAGCGUUGUUCGGAAUUACUGGGCGUAAAGCGCACGUAGGCGGCUUUGUAAGUUAGAGGUGAAAGCCCGGGGCUCAACCCCGGAAUUGCCUUUAAGACUGCAUCGCUUGAAUCCGGGAGAGGUGAGUGGAAUUCCGAGUGUAGAGGUGAAAUUCGUAGAUAUUCGGAAGAACACCAGUGGCGAAGGCGGCUCACUGGACCGGUAUUGACGCUGAGGUGCGAAAGCGUGGGGAGCAAACAGG
rnacentral:rRNA from 1 species